UACGGGGGGGGGCAAGCGUUGUUCGGAAUUACUGGGCGUAAAGGGCGCGUAGGCGGCCAACUAAGUCAGACGUGAAAUCCCUCGGCUCAACCGGGGAACUGCGUCUGAUACUGGAUGGCUUGAAUUCGGGAGAGGGAUGCGGAAUUCCAGGUGUAGCGGUGAAAUGCGUAGAUAUCUGGAGGAACACCGGUGGCGAAGGCGGCGAUCCUGGACCGAGAUUGACGCUGAUGCGCGAAAGCCAGGGGAG
rnacentral:rRNA from 1 species